rnacentral:rRNA from 1 species
UACGGAUGGUGCAAGCGUUGUCCGGAUUUAUUGGGUUUAAAGGGUGCGUAGGCGGCUUCAUAAGUCCGUGGUGAAAGCCAACAGCUCAACUGUUGAACUGCCAUGGAUACUGUGAGGCUUGAGUACAGACGAGGUAGGCGGAAUGGAUCGUGUAGCGGUGAAAUGCAUAGAUACGAUCCAGAACACCGAUUGCGUAGGCAGCUUACUAGGCUGUAACUGACGCUGAGGCACGAAAGCGUGGGGAGCGAACAGG